AAAGUCCUGGGGUGUUCGAUGAUCCCAUUUAUUUUGAACCUACAUUACUUUAAACGGGAUUCCUACAUUGCGGUAACUGAUGUCAGGCCGUCAUUAUGCAGCGGAAGACAGAGGUGAAGCUGCGGUUGCCCACCUAGCAUAAGCUAGGAGUCAGAAGAUGGGAAACGGCACUUUGGGACUUAA
rfam:Firmicutes bacterium CAG:424 genomic scaffold, scf43